GACGAAAUUCAAAAUCCCUAACCCUAACUCUUCAAAACGUCGUCGCCAGCACUCCUACGGUGCCAUAGCCGCCAUGGCACCUCUGUCAGAUGAGUAACAAGAGGGGAAAUGCACUACCAUGGUCCCAAUUUGUCCAAAAGUAGUUGUUGAGGAGUUGUAUUUGCAAGAUGAUGGGAUUAUUUAAAUCACAUGUGGACCGCUCUUGUAAAUUUGCAUAAUUAAGCAUCAAGUUAUUGGCCAUUCUAAUCCGGUUCUGAUUUGAUUUUCUACAUCUGAUUUGCGUGCUUUUCAGAUACUGAUUACCACUUUUGUCCUUGGCCAUAAUUUAUGUUCAUGAUUUACUGUGAAGUGCCUAAAUCAGGCAUGAACAUAAAUAGAAAUAACUUCAAGCUCAAGUUUGGACUUCCAUUGUUUGUGUGUUAGAUUGGUUCCUCCCCAUGUCAAUGUAUCGCUUAACUCAUAAUAUUCAGGGUUGCUAGCUAUACUCUUUAAACAGAGAUUUGUUCGCUGUUCC